GCUUCCUACAUUUCCCUAGGUUUGGGAAGGAAAAUAAAUAAAUAAAAGGCCUUCCUGGGAAAAAGGCUUUCUUGCACAGAUUCUUAAUGGAUACUUGCGCAACAUCAAAUACACAAAGUACCCUGGCUGCCCUGCCAGCAAUUGGCGAGGCUGUCAUUUCACCAUGGGAAAGGCUUUUGCAAUGCUGAGUUCAAAUGCUGCUGUUCUCCUCCACCUCUUUUUCCUCCUCACUUGUGCCGGUUCAUCUGUUUGUGAUUCCACAUGGUACAUUGGAUUGGAGAAACUGGUAAGGAGCCCAGCCAAAGGGAAAAGCCCUGCGGCCUGAGUCAGCAUCUGCAGUGUUAAACACUGCAAUUUAGAUGCUUUUAGUAGUUGAGUCAUAGUAAAGAUGUGUAAUGGGCCUUAACGAGCAGUCAUCUAAGGCUCUGUCACUGCAACUGUGUCCUCCUGUAGACUGGAAGGAUGAUUGAUUUUUUUAUUUCUUUUAUUAUUAUUUUUAUAGUUUCUUAGACAUUUGACUGGGGUUUGUGAGACCCAAGUCCUGGUCCUACCACUGCCACAGAUUGCUGGUGUCAUUUGAACCAUCAUCUGCAUCAGUCUUAGCUGAAGAAGUACACUUUCUGAGUUGAGUGCAGGCAAAAUUCCCUGUUUUCAUGUGCCUCUUUUCUGUUUACUCUUUGGGACAGAAACUGCUUGGCUAUUGUAUAGUUUUGAUCAAAGCUCUAGGCACUGCCCCACCUCUGCACUAUCAGUCAUUCAGUAAAGCCAAGGUAGAGCUAAGGGGGGAGAAGAGAGAGCAUACCUCCAUCCUUGCUCACUGCUCAUCUUACAGAAAGCCAUGUGUUUAUGAUUGUCAACAGCACUAAAGAUAUCUGGUCUGCAGAACUACCAUACUCUGUGGGCAUAAGCUUUGUAUCAUGCAGAGCAGCAAACCAAAGGGAUAGCACGACUCCAUAGCAAGAGCUCCGCUGCAUCUCCGGGUGUCCUGCAAGGCCAGGAAAAGCUCCUGUGCUCAGCUAUCCAGGCACAGCGGGUUGUGGUAGAAUAGAACAGGGAGAGUUACAAGAGCACUAGUGGAGCCAUUGGUUCCAUGGCACUGUGCUGCCUAGGAGAAGAUGGAUGGUUUUUUGCUGCUGGAGACUCCCAACAGCAGAAGUCAUUCUCUGAUCCUUGCCCUGGCCCUUUUGGCAGUCCCACCUCAGAGGAGUGCCUCCCCACACAAUGUGCAAAGGAUGCUCCAGAGCUUGCCAGCUUCUGUGUUUUAAUAAUCUGCUCCCCUAGAAGAAGGCAAUGCUCCCUGAAUUUCUUCCUAAUGAGAAUGUUGCCUCAACACCUGGCCCAGAUCUGACUUUCCCUUCCCUGUCAUCACGGCCUUGAGAGGCAGAGCAGCUUUUUGGAACAUGUCCUGCUCUCUUCCCCUUGGCUCUUUUAAUUUGCAUUUCCAAUAUUCCUCCUUUCGCAUGUUUCUGAACUUCAGACUGGCUUUUCUUGUUGGCAGUCUUAGGGACAUGGAUUAAAAA